UGAAUUGAGCAGCUCCAAAGCCUGUUGAUCCGCCAUAUUGAGCUACGCAUCAUAGAUUGUAUGACCUACUUUUCCAGACUAUGUAGUACAUGUUUCUUUGGAUUAUAUGUAGUUUAUGUCAGAAAAGGUUAUCAUGUGUUCACUGCAUAUUUGGCGUCUUUAGUAUAUUUGAGAAUUGUUGGUUGUAAAGAAAGGAAAUGUUGAUUUGCCCACAUUUUAUUUGAAUAAUUUGUAUUUUGAAGAAUUGUCGUAUCCUAUUUAUAUUGUAGGUAUUGAUUUGAAGAAAACUAAUUAUUGUUAAGGUGAUUUUAGUUCAUAUUUCAAGGGGAACUCUGUCAUAAUUUUGUUAAAAAUAUUUUUCAAUCAAGCAAGUCAAGUUGCUUUGGUGGUGGGUCCGGUGUUUAGCUGGUGUCUACCAUCGGUGCAUGACACGUGUCGAAUCCAUUAAGGUGAUUCGGGACAGGUCAUGUCAUAGUAUGCAUUGGAGAUACUGGAAGAUGUUGGAUUUUUGGGACCUAAAUCAACAUGGUUUCCAAAGGAAUAAAACUUGGUUCUUACACAAUCCGAUGGAGACCUUUUUGGUGAUCCUUCGCCAAAUAGGCGCCUUGUGGGAAGAUUAAUCUACUAAAAUAUUACUAGACCAGAUUUGGUCUAUGUUGUUCAUGCUUUAAAUCAAUUUAUGGACAAACCACAUGUAACACAUCUUGAGGCAGCACAGAGUCCUUAAAUACUUGAAGCAAACAAGGUAUUUUAAUUUUCUCCAAAGCACACUUCAAUUAAAGGCAUUUUGUGAUGCGGAUUGGGCACGUUGCAAGGACGCAAGAAGAUCUAUAACAGGAUAUUUUGUAUUUCUUGGAGUAUCAUUCAUUUACCAGAAAAAAAUAAGCAGACUACGGUGGCCCAAUCAAUUGUCAAGGCAGAGUAUCGCGCUUUGUCUAAUAUAGGAUGUGAAAUUACUAAGUUGAAAAACGUCUUGAAAAACUUGGGAGUCAAGCAUCCUCAACCAGUCAUGUUGUUCUAUGAUAACUGAGCUGCUUUACGUAUUGCCUCAAAUCCAAUUUUUCAUGAACGAACAAAGCAUAUUGAAAUUGAUUGCCAUUUAGUUCGAGAAAAUAUUCAAGAAGGCUUGAUCAGAACAGCGCAUGUGAGGACCAAUGAUCAAACUGCAGACUUAUUUACUAAGGCAUUGAGUACAUCAGAGGUUGAAGUACUACUUAACAAGUUGGGUGGUCGUCAACAUCCACUUCAACUUGAAGGGGAGUGUUGAAGACAAUCAAGUAAAAUAGGAAAGAUGUAUAUUUUACUGUAAUAUUAAAGUAGGAAAGCAAAUAACCUGUAUCAAUGUAAUUAAUUAAUUUUAUUUUUUUAUUUUUUUAUAAUUCAAGUAAAAGAUAUAGCUAUUUUAUAGGCACUAGAAUAGAAUAUAAACUGCCUCUCUUGUGUAUGAAGUCAUGGACUUGGUAUUAUAUUCUGAUCUUUUUAUUACAAAGUGUCGUUCUCAGAUGAAAAUGAUGAUUUGAUAGCAACAAAAGAAGUUCACGCUAGUACUGGGUCUAAUCAAGUUUGUACCUUACUACGAGCUCGAGCAACUUGUCGGAGUUCACAUUUUCCCCGUUAAAAGAUUGAUUUAGAUGUUUGUUUCAACUUCUAUGCUUCUUGAAAAUCUUAUUGACGAGGAUCAAAAAAUAAUACAUGAGAGAGGCUGAUGAUCCGUACAAGUUAUGAAAACAUUUGAGUUUGCAUUUAUCUAGUUGUCAUGCAUAAAUUUUUGGAAAAAUCUGAUUUGUUACAUCAAGCAUUGGAAAUGAAAAAUCAAGACAUUUUGGAUGCAAUGAAUUUAAUCUCAACUAUGACGAUGCUUCUUCGAGAGACCCAAGAUGGUCACUGGGAAGGUUUAUUUGGAGUGAGGUGCAGUUUUAUAGAAGUAAUGACAUUGAAUGUGCCUGAAUUAGUUUAUCAUUAUAUGGACGGUACAAGACGUUCUUGUCGACAUAAAAAUAAUAAUAGAGUGGAGGAUUUCUAUCGCUUUCAUAUAUUCAAUGCUGAUAUCGAUUUUCAGUUGAUGAACUUGUUGGGAAUUUACUUAAACAUGCACAGCGGAAAUAACAGUUUCAAUUCUCAUUCAGGAUUCAGUUUUGUAUUUAGAUAAGAACUGUGAUGAGAAAUAUACAUUUUUCUUGAUUUUGCAAAUUCCUUUGCGUUAUUCUUUUCCAGCAACUUGAAUCUGCCUCCCACAGCUGUCAAAUUAUCCAGCCUCCAAUGAAAUCCACACAGAGAAUAGGCUGCAACUGUUAGUGUUUUUCCUCUUGUGCCAAUAAGAAUAAUAAAAACCUUAUGGAUCUUAAACCCUAGCCAUGUANAGAAAAGGUUAUCAUGGGUUCACUGCAUAUUUGGUGUCUUAAGUACAUUUGAGAAUUGUUGAUUGUAAAGAAAGAAAAUGUUGAUUUGUUUAUAUUUUAUUUGAAUAGUUUGUAUUUUAAGGGACUGUCGUAUCCUAUUUAUAUUAUAAGUAUUGAUUUGAGGAAAAUUGUUUAUUGUUCAGGUGGUUUUAGUUCAUAUUUCAAAGGAAACUUUGUCAUAAUUUUGUUAAAAAUAUUUUUCAAUCAAGCAAGUUAAGUUGCUUUGGCAGUGGGUACGGUGUUUAGCUGGUAUCUACCAUCAGCGCACGAUACAUGUCGAAUCCGUUAAAGUGAUUUGGGACGGGUCGUGUCAUAGUAUGCAUUGGAGAUACUGGAAGAUGUUGGAUUUUUGGGACCUAAAUCAACAUGGUUUCCAAUGGAAUAAAACUUGGCUCUUACACAAUCCCAUGGAGACCUUUUUGGUGAUCCUUCGUCAAAUAGGCGCCUUGUGGGAAGAUUAAUCUACUAGAAUAUUACUAGACCAGAUUUGGUCAAUGGUGUUCAUGCUUUAAAUCAAUUUACGGACAAACCACAUGUAACACAUCUUGAGGCAGCACAGAGUCCUUAGAUAUUUAAAGCGAACAAGGUAUUUUUAUUUUCUCCAAAGCACACUUCAAUUAAAGGCAUUUUGUGAUGCGGAUUGGGCACGUUGCAAGGACGCAAGAAGAUCUAUAAUAGGAUAUUUUGUAUUUCUUGGAGUAUCACUCAUUUACUAGAAAAAAAGUAGACUACGGUGGCCCAAUCAAUUGUCAAGGCAGAGUAUCGCGCUAUGUCUAAUACAGGAUGUGAAAUUACUUGGUUGAAAAACGUCUUGAAAAACUUGGGAGUCAAGCAUCCUCAACUAGUCAUGUUGUUCUAUGAUAACUGAGCUGCUUUACGUAUUGCCUCAAAUCCAAUGUGAGGAUCAAACUGCAGACUUAUUUACUAAGGCAUUGAGUACAUCAGAGGUUGAAGUACUACUUAACAAGUUGGGUG
rnacentral:lncRNA from 1 species